AUUAGAAAAAGGAAAUUAUUGUCAAGUAAAAACCAUCAAAUAAUCUUUUGCUAUUAUUAUCUUUGUUUAGUAUUUAAAAAGGAAAACUACGAUUAAAUAAUUCUUUUGUGUUAUUAUCUUAUUAUAUUUAUAUUAUUAAAUAUGAUAAAUUUUAACACAUAUCAUCAUCUUAAAUUUUUAAUUGUCAUGUGUCAUCGUCAUGUUAAUUAACAACUUUGAAAAACUAAGCUUUGUAUAAUAAGAUUAGAUCUCUUUUUAUAUAGGGUUAUACAAAUCAUAACCCUACGAAUAUUUGAAAAACUGCUUAAAGUAUCUUAAAAGGAAAAAUACCAAAACUCUAUUCUUAAUGCUUUAAGGAAAUAUUACUUUUGAAUCUUAUUUCUUUUGUAUGUGAUACCAUAGCGUGUAUCAUAAACAUGUAAGGAUGGAAGAUAAACUAUGAUCUAAUAUUUGAUACACAAACUCAGACUCCUCCACAUCCCACGUGACAAUGAUCCCACAAGAGAAAAAUGGAUGAACCUUGCACUUAGGAAAAGCGAUCUGACAAAAAUAUUUGUUUUCCUGCUGUAGACUCCACUUCCAACAAAUCCACUAUUGCCCCAACAAGAAGUAUCACACGGCUGAAGAUCAAACUCCAUACGAAGCAAAGCUCACUCUUUUUUCUCCUAGUAUUAAAAAGACCAAGAUAAUCCUUUCCUGCCCAAGUGAUAGACUCCAUCCCGUACGUCAAUGAAUUUUUUUUCAAAUCUAUGCUUCGACUCACUUGAAGCGGUGAAACAACGAUCAAUCUACAUGGAGAGAAAGUCAGAUCGCAUACCAACAAAAAUCAUAAAUUAUCAAAGAAAAAUCUCCAUUCGUUACUCCUUUCAUUGUGGAUCACAUCUGUGUCUUGUUCCAUGCUUUUCGAAACACCAAAUUGCUCACGUCACCGUAAUUCCAUGAAAACCAGAAAUACUUUUUUUUAUAUGCGGCAUAGACACACAUCACCGGUAACAUAUUAUUUGCCCACCCCUGCGUGCUGAUGUGGCUUAACGAGGAAAGAGCAUACCCAACUUUAUUAUUAUAGAUUUUAUGAUAUUUUGUUCUUUUGAAAACUGAAUUCUCAAUUUUUUUUAUAUUUGACUAAACUAAAUAAAGUAAUACUAUAUUUAAAAAUUGUUUUACAUAAUAUAUAUACUAUAUAUUUUAGUUUUAGUUUUUAUUUUCACCACAAAGAAACGACAAAAUUGUAAUUAAUUAAUUUAAAUUGAUUUUAAAUACAGUGAUGAAAUGUGUAAAUAAAAACGAAAUACAAAACUGAAGUAUUUAAUUUAUUAUAAAUACAUUGACUAAAUGUGUAAAUAAAAAUAAAUAUUUAAUCUACUACAUGUGUCUCCAAACAAUUCUCAUUUAUUAUGUUAUCCAUGUUUCCAAACAAUACCAAAAUUAUAUUAAUUUUAAUAAUAUAGAUAGAUACACGUUUUGGCAUUAUUUUAUUUGGUGGUAAAAACGUGCCUACUUUUGUGAACAAAACAGUUCGAAAAACCAACUUAUAGUGCAAUGCUAUUUAUUACGAGGACCAAGUACAUUAUAUAUUUGGAAAUAAUGUGGGUGAUGUGUAUGAUGAGCAUCAGAGAAAUUUAUAUUAUGAUAUGGUUACAAAUGUAUUUUUAUGAAACUGUAAUUUCUGAUAAUAGCAGGGAAGAACUUAACAUGCAAAACAGUUUUAUAAUACACUGCAAAAAAAACCAUCUAAGAAACAUGUAGGGCAGGGCAUUAUAGAUUGUCAUUGGCAUCCUUCUCGACAUCCAUCGAUCAAUCCAAUAUAUAAAAUAGAAAUCAAUACAAAAACCAAAGGAGUUCCAAGAAGAUUCUGAAGGAAUUCUUUUAUAUUUUUUUAACCUAAGAGAAAACCUAAAAUAAAAUAAUAUAAAUCAUAAAAGAAAGAAUACCCUAAACAACAACUAAUAAAACACAUAAAUAGAAUUUUGAGUUGGCCAAAGGCAUCCUGUUAAUUUGUGGUGACUUCUGGGUCUCAGUCGGUCUUGAAAUAGACUCGGCCAUCUACUUUCAUCAGUGUCGAUCGACACCAAAGGGUCAUUAUUGAUCGACACUCCUUCAUUUCUUCGACAGUUUCCUCUCGCGAGUUUGACAUACCAUUCUUCAGUGAAAUGAUCAUAACUCUAUAUUUAACCUUCAGAUGGACCUCAAACCGAUGGAAUAGGAAAGGUAACUCAAAUAUCUAUCUUGUGUCAAAAUAUGAGCUCAAUCCCAGCGUGGGAAGGUCUCCGUCCAUCGCCAAAUUUUGGACACGUCUUUACAGUUCUGCAACUCAAAUAAUUCUGAAAUCAACAAAGUUCCUCAAACGUAUGUGAACCUGAAAUGACUCUAAAAUAGACUCCAAACAUAUAUAAUAGACUAUAUAUAUUAUAUAAAUUCUGAAUCUGUGACUUAAUCGAAUUAUUGUUUAUGCAUAUCAAAAAUACUUUAAAUUAAAUAUAAAAAGGCUAUUUUUAUUUAAUAAAUUUAAAAACAAGUGGUUGUGAUUUUUUGUUUUUGUCAAACUAGAUCCGUUUAUAUUGGAAUUUGAAAAGAUGUAUAGCUUAAAUUAGACUUGUUUCAAUUUGUGAUUCAUCUAUAAAUGUACUUCUAUGUCGUUCUAAUUUUUAAAACACCAUUAUUUCAUUAUCAAAAAUGAAAGUUGCUUUCAAACCUUGGUUUAUUGGUUUCGUUAUGCUCGCAAUUCUUCUGUUUGGAGAAAGGGCUAUUGCUCGGACAGGAGAAAAUAGGUGGUGUUUCACAACUUUAACACCUAUACCAUCAUCAAAAAAUCCCAACCCUCCAAGAUGUACUCCCGAUAGCUGUGAAGCCUUAUGUCUCAAAAAGAAAAAAGCACUGAUAAGUAAAUGCCUUAGAAUAAAUUACGGAUGCAUGUGUCGGAUUGACUGCGCUAACUGAUUUUUUAUAUACAUUAAAACUCGAAUAAUAUUUAUAAUAAUACUAUGUAUUUGUCAUAAAUAAAUAUAAAUAACAAAUAUUGAUACAUGUAUCUUCAUCUC